UAAAAAAAAAUUAUUUAGUUUAUUUGUUUUAUAAUUAGAAUUAAUAAAAUUAAUUUUAACAUUAAAAGUUUAAGUAUUUUAUAAAGAAAAAAUAAUUAUAAUGAUAGUUAAUUAGUAUUGUAAAAGAAUUUUUAAAUAUUUUGAAAAUAGUUUAUUUUAAAAGAAAAUAUUAUUUAUUGUACCUUGUGUAUCAGGGUUUAUUAAUUGAAAAAUAAAAAUUUAUUAUUCCCGAAUUUAAAAGAGUUAAUAAAUUAUGUUAGUUAACGUAUUAAAGUUAUUAAUAAUAAUUUAUUGGAAAUGAAAUGUUAAUCGCUUUUAAAUAUAUCUGGUUUUCUAAGAAAUAAAUUUAAUUUAGUUAAUUAUUAAUACUUUUUUAUUUAAAAAAUUAAAUUAGUAAUAAUUAAAAAUAUUUUAAGGGAUAAGCUUUAAAGUAUUAUUUAUAAUUUGUGUUUAGAUUUUUAAAUUUAUAGGCUUAGAAAUAGCCAUUAGUUAAAAAAAUGUUAUAAUUUAUUUAAAGAUAAAAAUAAUUUUUUGUAAGUUUAAGUAUUUAUUAGAAUAAAUUUAGUAAUAAAAAUAAAUUUGUAAUAAUGAUAAAAUUAGUAUAAAUAAUUGUAGAAAAUAAUUUAAUAAGAAAGGUUAAAUUAAGGAACUCGGCAAAUAAAUACUCGCCUGUUUAACAAAAACAUGUCUUUUUGAUAAUAAUUUAAAGUCUAAUCUGCCCACUGAUUUUAUUAAAGGGCCGCGGUAUUUUGACCGUGCAAAGGUAGCAUAAUCAUUAGUCUUUUAAUUGAGGGCUAGAAUGAAUGAUUGAACGAAGUAUUAACUGUCUCAAUUUAAUUGAUUGUAGAAUUUAUCUUUUAAGUUAAAAGACUUAAAUAAAUUUAAAGGACGAGAAGACCCUAUAGAGCUUUAUAUUUUAAAAGUAAUUUAUUUAUAGAAAAAUUUAAAUUUUAUUUGUAAGAGUAUUUUGUUGGGGUGACAGGAAGAUUUAAUAAACUCUUUAUAUAAUUUAAACAAUGAUUUUUGAAAAAUUGAUCCAUUUAUAGUGAUUAUAAGAUUAAGUUACCUUAGGGAUAACAGCGUAAUCUUUUUUGAGAGUUCUUAUCGACAAAAAGGGUUGCGACCUCGAUGUUGGAUUAAGGGUAAUUUUUAGGCGGAGAAGUUUAAAGUUUAGGUCUGUUCGACCUUUGAAUCCUUACAUGAUCUGAGUUCAGACCGGCGUAAGCCAGGUUGGUUUCUAUCCUUAAUAUUAUAAAAUAUUUUAGUACGAAAGGACCAAAUAUUUAAGAUAAUUCUUUUUAGAUUGAUUGCAAGUAAUAA
rnacentral:rRNA from 1 species